UGCUCCCAGGCGUCGAGCGGCGGACGGGUGAGUAACACGUGGGAAUCUGCCCAUUAGUGGGGGAUAACUCGGGGAAACUCGAGCUAAUACCGCAUAAUCCCUACGGGGGAAAGCAGGGGAUCUUCGGACCUUGCGCUGAUGGAUGAGCCCGCGUCGGAUUAGCUUGUUGGUGGGGUAAUGGCCCACCAAGGCGACGAUCCGUAACUGGUCUGAGAGGAUGGCCAGUCACACCGGGACUGAGACACGGCCCGGACUCCUACGGGAGGCAGCAGUGGGGAAUCUUGGACAAUGGGCGCAAGCCUGAUCCAGCCAUGCCGCGUGUGUGAAGAAGGCCUUCGGGUUGUAAAGCACUUUCAGUAGGGAGGAAGGCUUUGGGCUAAUACCCUGGAGUACUUGACGUUACCUACAGAAGAAGCACCGGCUAAUUUCGUGCCAGCAGCCGCGGUAAUACGAAAGGUGCGAGCGUUAAUCGGAAUUACUGGGCGUAAAGCGCGCGUAGGCGGUGUGUUAAGUCGGAUGUGAAAGCCCAGGGCUCAACCUUGGAAUUGCAUCCGAUACUGGCACGCUAGAGUGCAGUAGAGGGAGGUGGAAUUUCCGGUGUAGCGGUGAAAUGCGUAGAGAUCGGAAGGAACACCAGUGGCGAAGGCGGCCUCCUGGACUGACACUGACG
rnacentral:rRNA from 1 species